UAAGUCGGAGAGACAUAGGCUCUCAAAGACGCCAGUCCCGCCCGCCUGCCAAUAGGGGGAGCGCCUGGGGGAGCGGGCAUCCGGGUGGUGAGGACGCGGGCUCUGUGGGUCCAGCGGGUUUCUUGACUAACGGCCUUCAGUCUCCAGUAAACGCCUCUCCCAGCUCAGUUGACCGCCCACACCUGGCCCCACCUGCACCUGGUCCGACCAGAAGGCCCCGCUCCCCCUACCCUACCCAGCUGAUGCCAUUUUGGUCUCAGCCCGUCUGCUAGCAGAUGUAAUAAAGUCAUAAUUCUUUACCCCUUU